GAUGAACGCUAGCGGCAGGCCUAAUACAUGCAAGUCGGACGGGAUUGGAGAGCUUGCUUUCCAUGAGAGUGGCGCACGGGUGCGUAACACGUAUGCAACCUACCUUUAUCAGGGGGAUAGCCUCUCGAAAGAGAGAUUAACACCGCAUAAAAUUAGUUUAUGGCAUCAUAAAUUGAUCAAAUAUUUAAAGCUUCGGCGGUACGGGAUGGGCAUGCGUGACAUUAGCUAGUUGGUAAGGUAACGGCUUACCAAGGCUGCGAUGUCUAGGGGUCCUGAGAGGGUGAUCCCCCACACUGGUACUGAGACACGGACCAGACUCCUACGGGAGGCAGCAGUGAGGAAUAUUGGUCAAUGGGCGUAAGCCUGAACCAGCCAUCCCGCGUGAAGGAAGAAGGCGCUAUGCGUCGUAAACUUCUUUUCCAGAGGAAUAAAAUUUUGUACGAGUACAGAACUGAAGGUACUCUGGGAAUAAGCAUCGGCUAACUCCGUGCCAGCAGCCGCAGUAAUAC
rnacentral:rRNA from 1 species